GGGCCCGCACAAGCGGUGGAGCAUGUGGUUUAAUUCGAUGCAACGCGAAGAACCUUACCUACUCUUGACAUCCAGAGAACUUUCCAGAGAUGGAUUGGUGCCUUCGGGAACUCUGAGACAGGUGCUGCAUGGCUGUCGUCAGCUCGUGUUGUGAAAUGUUGGGUUAAGUCCCGCAACGAGCGCAACCCUUAUCCUUGUUUGCCAGCGAGUAAUGUCGGGAACUCCAGGGAGACUGCCGGUGAUAAACCGGAGGAAGGUGGGGACGACGUCAAGUCAUCAUGCCCCUUAUGUCUUGGGCUUCACGCAUGCUACAAUGGCCGGUACAGAGGGCUGCAAUACCGCAAGGUGGAGCGAAUCCCAAAAAGCCGGUCUCAGUUCGGAUUGAGGUCUGCAACUCGACCUCAUG
rnacentral:rRNA from 1 species